rnacentral:rRNA from 1 species
AGAGUUUGAUUCUGGCUCAGAACGAACGCUGGCAGCGUGGAUUAGGCAUGCAAGUCGAACGAGAGACCAUGAGUUCAAGUUUUCGGACGAGAACGAUUGGAGGAAAGUGGCGGAAGGGUGAGUAACGCGUGGGCAAUCUGCCUCUGAGUUGGGGACAACCCCGGGAAACCGGGGCUAAUACCGGAUGCGGUCCCCCAAUGCAUAUUGGGACGAUUAAAAGUGGGGAUGAGCUUCGGCUCACCUGCCGCUCGGAGAGGAGCCCGCGUGCCAUCAGCUUGUUGGUGAGGUAACGGCCCACCAAGGCUUACGGCUAGCUGGUCUGAGAGGAUGGUCAGCCACACUGGGACUGAGACACUGCCCAGACUCCUACGGGAGGCUGCAGUCGAGGAUCAUUGUCAAUGCGCGAAAGCGUGAACAUGCGACGCUGCGUGGAGGAUGAAGGCCUUCGGGUCGUAAACUCCUGUCAUUCGGGAAAAAUUGCGGUUGGGUGAAUAGCCUGGCCGUUUGAUGGUACCGAAAGAGGAAGCCACGGCUAACUCUGUGCCAGCAGCCGCGGUAAUACAGAGGUGGCGAGCGUUGUUCGGAUUUACUGGGCGUAAAGGGUGCGUAGGUGGCAUCGUGUGUCGGAUGUGAAAGCCCACGGCUCAACCGUGGAACUGCAUUCGAAACUGCGGAGCUAGAGUACAGGAGGGGAGAGCGGAACUCUUGGUGUAGCGGUGAAAUGCGUUGAUAUCAAGAAGAACACCGGUGGCGAAGGCGGCUCUCUGGAAUGUUACUGACACUGAGGCACGAAAGCUGGGGGAGCAAACAGGAUUAGAUACCCUGGUAGUCCCAGCCGUAAACGGUGUGCACUUGGUGUGGGCGGUAUUGACCCCGCCCGUGCCGGAGCUAACGCGUUAAGUGCACCGCCUGGGGAGUACGGCCGCAAGGUUAAAACUCAAAGAAAUUGACGGGGGCCCGCACAAGCGGAGGAGCAUGUGGCUUAAUUCGAUGCAACGCGAAGAACCUUACCAGGGCUUGACAUGCAGCUGCAAGCCCCCCGAAAGGGGGGAAUCCUUCGAGGGUGCUGCACAGGUGCUGCAUGGCUGUCGUCAGUUCGUGCCGUGAGGUGUUGGGUUAAGUCCCGCAACGAACGCAACCCCUGUGUUUAGUUGCCACCGCAGGUGAUGAGCCUGCGAGCACUCUAGACAGACUGCCCGUACAAGCGGGAGGAAGGUGGGGACGACGUCAAGUCAGUAUGGCCCUUACGCCCUGGGCUGCACACGUGCUACAAUGGUCGGUACAGAGGGAGGCAAUACCGCGAGGUGGAGCAAAUCCCAAACGCCGGCCUCAGUUCGGAUUGGAGUCUGCAACUCGACUCCAUGAAGUUGGAUUCGCUAGUAACGGCGCAUCAGCUACGGCGCCGUGAAUACGUUCCCGGGCCUUGUACACACCGCCCGUCACAUCAUGAAAGCCGUCUGCACCCGAAGUCGCUGAGCUAACCCGCAAGGGAAGCAGGUGCCGAAGGUGUGGGUGGUGAUUGGGAUGAAGUCGGAACAAGGUA